CGCUCUGUAGGAUUUGAACCUACGACAUCGGGUUUUGGAGACCCGCGUUCUACCGAACUGAACUAAGAGCGCUUUAUUUUCAUAAAUAAUUUUAUGUGACCCCAAUACAUCUUGCAUGCAUAAUCAAAUAUAUAUAAUAGCCCUUGGCAUAGAAGCUGUGAAAGAAUAGGCUGCUGGAGGAAGAACCGCCCAAAAGCGGGAGAGAAGCGGAACGGGCAAGUCAGCCAGAGCAACUUUGAGGGAAGCCAGCUCCUCAUCUGACUUUGUUUGAAGGUCGGUGUCGAGGAAUGGCAUGGUCUCCGGGAGAAAGAAAGCCAAAGGAGCGAAAAGCACACCAUCCUAGGUAAGCAGCAUCUUUGAAGCGGCAUCUCACUCAAUAUACGCAAUUCUCAGAUCUGUCUUUUCCGGCCGAUUCCAUGCCACUCUACUUUGGACCCUCUUGCAGGAGCUCGGACUGAGUCUAGUUUAGGUCCAUCCGAGGGUUUGGACGUCACUUCUUCACUUUUCUGCUUUUUGGAUGGGUGCUCUCCCCCGAGUGAAGGCAUAAGCCGUAGACAGUCACUAGUUUGAUCGCUAUGCCAUUCUCGGCAACGAUGUGGUGAUAGCUGAUCGACGAGUUGCUUCGGUCUACCUUGUUGAAUCAUCUACAUUGAUUGAGGACUCGAUGUCAGAAUGCAUUCUUCGAUACCCUGUUGUAGAAGUUUUCAUCUAGUUCCUGUAGCUAGUCGUAGAUGCAUAUUCUAGCUGCUAUCGGAUCAGAGGUUCGGGGGAUUUUUCACUUUAUUAUUUAAAAAUAUAUAUUCAUUUCAUUCCUGUUGGAUCUCUUGCUUUCAAGUUCUCUUAGUUUCUAUGUAACUCAAUCAGGACGUAGAUGUAGAUACGGAUAGGGGUCAACCGGGUAACCAAUCCCGGUGGCUGGAUGACUCCUUCACCCUUAGAUCGCAAGACUAAGGCAAACGAGGCGGAACCUCGGUGGCGUGAUAGGCUGGUUCUCACCAGGGUCAGUCCUAUCACAAAAUUGGAGUUUCUAACCUCACUCUGCUUGGUAAGGCAGAGCCCUAUGUUAGUCACAUAGGCACCCCCCGGUUUCUUAGUGAAACUCAUCAAGGUGAGGGUGGGCUAGCUUAUAGCUAUUCUAUCACUCAGGGAUCCAGAAUGGAGCAACUGGGGGUGACGCGGAAGCCACCCGGGUGGGGCUGGUAAGAGAUGAUAUCAAGCGGUCUAGAAUAGAAUCGAAAGCUCAAAAGGGAAGUGAAGGAUCAGUUCCUCCCAUGCAAUGUGGCAUGGCUCGCUCGUGACUCAUUGAGGAAGGGGCACGGUUCGAGAUUCUGUGAAGGACCCUAAUGCUUAACAUAAAUAAGAGGACAAAGUCUUCCAUUGAAUGGCUGGUUUACAAACCUGGGCUCAGACGUAAGUCAGGAGAGGAUUUAGCCUCUUGGUGGACUACAAGUUGAAGAGUUCAUAAUGUUGGGAAAAAAACGGAUCUGCCAUUCCUACUCCCCAGUUAUGUCAUCCCUGACCUAUGAUUCCAUCCUAGUUUUCGCCGCCCAUGGUUCCGAGAGACCCAAUUUAUACAUAAUGAGCACCUCACCCCUUUCUUUCCUUGUAGUUGGAGUUGGGCAAGAUUUCACUUGUAAAUGGAUUGGCUUUAGAUGCGAGAUACGGCUCAUAACCACUGCUUGUGAACAGCUUGACUCCUGCUUUCCCGGCUACAGUACAGAUUGUGCCAAAGACAGCUCGCUCCUGCUCAAAAAUCACACAAUAAGCCAAGGCAAGGCGGCCAGUUCUAAUCUAGCUAUUUCAAAACAAAUUCUCAUCUCAGGAAGACAGAUCGAACUAUUACAGAUAGAACAGAUAGAUUGGUGUAGGCUCUAAGCCAAGCCUAUCUCGUGUGCUAUAAAAUAGACAACGUACUUUCCCGAGCCUUUCUCAAGCUAUUAUGUCUAGUCCCAGGUACAAAGAGGUGUAUAUAUAGCGUUCUCCUUCCUGCCUCGACCCUUUCGGCUAAGAGGAAAUCCGGAGCGACAAAAGCGAUUCCGGUCUCCCCACCAUUCAUUUGAAAGGUAUAAGGCACGCCAUUCGGUCCUUUCUAAAGUAGUAGUGGUGGCUAUCUCCCUAUGAAGUCUGGGAUCUAUUCCAACUUUACUUAAUGUAAAUAGUUGAUAAGAUUCGUGAACCCUGUUGAGUCCACGGGAAGAUCUUCUUGUUCGGAUUGCUAGCUUAGCUGCCCUUUUGGAUACUACAAUUUUCUUUUCAUUUUACAGUUUACAUCCAGGCCAAGUCCUUUUCUGCCUGUGGGAAACCAAGCAAUUGAUUCUCCCUGUGUCAAUGUUAUGGGUCCAAUUCUAACUCUUUCAUUGCUCUCUCCAGAAGCUUCACUUGCGACCUUAUGCUUUCUAUCCUAAAUAGAGAAAGAGGGAAAUAGGUCAAAUCAAAAGACGAGGCUGAGCGUUAGCGAUGGGCUGGGUAACGAAGGGUGAGUGUAACGAUGGUGCGAAGCAGAGAAGGAAAGUCAAGGGCUUUGUGGGCUAAGGGAUCUCGAUAUGCCCCUUUAGAUAAGAGUCAGUAGGCCUAGAAGGCUCCUAUGCCAAAAUAAAAUGCUCUACAUGACUAAAGUCAAGGCGAACGGCAUUAGUACAGCUGUUAAGAAGACUCUCCGAUGUUGACUUUGUAAACUAAUAGGCCUUGGUAACCGGUAGGUUACUUUUGACAUAUAAUUUCUAAUGGAACUACCGUCUAUUGUAUAGGGCUACUAUAUUCAUUUGUACUCGUCUACUAAUGCCGGUCGGAUUAGCUACAUCGGAUUGACUACUACCCUAGGAUGAUAGGACCAGUUGGAACGGCUUCUUCUGUUUCUACCUACACAUCUCAGAGCUCAUACACCUGCGCAUCUCACUAGCGUAUCUCCUCUCUGUCCCGUAAGCAUUUAGGGUCUUACUCUCUCUUCUCGGUCAGUAUAUUCCCCUAAUCUCUCUAUCAUUGGCAUUGGCAUUGGAAUAGCCAACAAUAAUAGGUAAUGAACUCCUUGGGAUCGAAAGAGAACUUUUGCUUUGGUCUCGAGGAAUUGUUGAGCGAGGCUGACUUUAGAGGUGUAAGCACCGCGAGUCUCAAUCCAGUCAAAUUCCUGUUCUAUUACUGGCUCAUAACUGAGCGAAAGGCAUAAUAGAUUCUUGCUCUUCUUAGCCUUGCAAAUGAGGCGGUUGAUAGACCCUUCCUGUCCUAGUGGUAUGGUUAACAUAAACUUAUGACUCUGAGGCUAGCUCUAGGACAAGCGGAGGUUCUUCUUUCUCCUCUGGGGUUAAGUCCAAUACUAAUGUGUAUCUUUCUGCUUUAUUCACUUCCUGAACAGUUUCUGUGCCCAUUCUGGAUUGAAUACCUGUAUAUCUUGGUAAGAUUAGGGUCAACGGUUUGUGCCUGUCUAUUCCAUCCAUCCCUUCGUGGAGUUAGGGCGUGUGAUGUGUCCUUUCCGAUGCCCUCGGCCGCAUUUCGGAAUCAAAGAGUCAUGGUGCUUUAGUUGUGGGUUAGCAGGGAUAAGUUGGACUGCGCUAGUAGUUAGGGUGGUAAGAUGAGCACCGCGAUCGAAGGGCUCACUCUAUGGAAGUCCUCUCCCACUUGAAAGCUAAAUAAGGACACAAAUAAUUGUAUUCCAUUCUUAGCAGAGGUUCCUUCCAUCUAAUCCCUCGAAGUACUUCGCUCACCUUCGAAGAGUGAAAUGAUCAUUCAAAGCAGACUAACUAAAGGCAUAGGGCAAAGGAGCUUAGAAGGGUGAGGGUGGCGGAGGGAAUAAGGUAUGAAAUCACUUAGAUAGAAGCAUGUUGGAUGACGGCCCCUAUCGCUAAUCAGAGACUUAAUGGCAACAAUUAUGGAUUCAUAAAUUUGGAGAAAUAAGGUAAUAGAAGGCUAGCUAUAUGCUUAACACAGCUAGUUCGAAAACGAGCCAUCGAAGUAUCUAACUGCGCAUUAUAGCUAAUCUGUCUGAGCCAUCUCUUUUGAAGGUAUGACACCUGCUAGGUUGACCGCGCCCCGAGGGAGACUAUGGUAAGGUCGGAUAGAUCGAGUCUUUUGAUACUCUUAUUCUUAGGAUUGGGCCCCUCAGUAAUGAAAGCUAUUGAAGAAUGCCUCCCACCCGAAAGAGAAGAAGACAUCGAGAAAACAGGGUGGCUCUCAAACUGAAACACAUGUGGUAGGGUCUCUCUUUGUGAGCAUACCAACCCGAGUUGGAUCAAUGAGGAUGGUGUGAUCUGACCUCUCAAUCGUGGGUUUCCCCGUUCGAGGACUCCCUCGCCUUUGUCUUUCCUUUCGGCAGAGAAGAAGACGGAAAAACAGAAGGGGAUAUUUUUUUUAAACUCCAAGGAGGAUGGGCAUGACAGAGUUUGGCAAGAAUCAUCCCUUCCUUUUUCAAAGACGACGAGCCGCCCACCUUCAUUACCUAAGAUGAAGAAUUCUCACCCAUGCUACGAGUCUGCGGUCAAGCGCAAUCUGAGAUCCCUCGUCGAUAGACAUGAACCAGGCGAGUCCGAAUCCCUUUCUGUUUUGUCAGCUGAUCUUACGAGCUUUCAUAGAAAGCCUAUAUCUUAUAGCGCGUACAAGAAGAAGUGGUGGACAAUCUUCUCUGCGCUCUUUGACCUACCAUAGAUCCUUAGUGGUGGACCGAUCGACCUCAAGCCCUAUCGUCAAAGACAGACUCUUUUAGUGCAAUGAGAGAGGUACUUUCAAAAAGUAAGUGGUAGGUUGUUCUCGUCAAGCAGUAAGGCGACAAUCCAAUCCUGAGCUUCGUCAAUAGGCGUCCAAUCCUGGGAAAAAAGUAGGGUAGAAUCGCCGAGUCGUCUAGCCUAGUAAAAAGCAAUAGCCCCUGCCUCAACUCCACAAUCACAAUCAUUUGUAAAGUAAAAAAGGGUGGUUUGCUGGCUUGCUCGUGCAAUCUACGAUAAAUUCGUUCAUUCACAUGUUUUAUUUUAUCUGUUUGACUCAGAAGGAGGAGAAGACGAAGCCGAAGAUACAGAAAGAAUCGUCUCCAGCGCACCGAUGGGAGACGGGGCCCCCGCAAGGAAAAGUGCUGCUCUCAUAACCGACUGUUUUUAAUCUUUUUAUGGAUGUGUGAUAUAUCUGAUGUUCAAUUCUGUCAUAGGGGCUGCUGCACACUGAUAUAAAUCAAAUUGAAUUACGUCAUCCGAGUGAAAGACGAUUCCACAGUUUGACCUGUCUAUUAAUGUCACGUCCCGCCUGUGCAGACUGACCUUUCUUUCAUGACACUCUCGGCCAUAAGCUGUAUUAUGUGUUUUCGCUAGGACCGACUUCUUUCGGGGCUACUCUCCUCCCGCUAUAAAUGUAAUAAUACAUCGAGAGUCUAAUCCCGUGGCCCCCUCCGGCCAAAUCAGUUCAUUUCGCUCUCAGCGACCGCUCUUCCUUCCUCUUCGGGUCCUCCUUGACUUAUCUUUCUCCGGUCGUCCCCUCCGAUCAUGAUCUACUUACUCCCUGUGAUAUAGCUUAUGUUCAAUAGGAUCGAGACUACUCUAACAAACAAUUGAAAAUGAAAGGCAAGCAGGAAUUGAACCCACUAAUGGGCCAGCGCUUGGCGUUUACUCUAGCCCGUCUUUAUAGGAUAGACCUCUUUAUUCAGUUGUCUUUCCCCUUACCUUAUCAGUAGAUCGGUGGAGGCCCGACCCUUGGUCCGACCUUGAUGCCAUAGUUUGGAGGGGGCUGAGCAGUGGGUUGGAAAGAAAGAGUUGUAGAAAGAGAGGAAUCGAGAUAAAGUGCACUUUCCCUUGAUGUCAGUCUAUUCCAACAAAGCACACAAUAAGUGAGAUGAGCCUGCCAGCUCCGCCUUGGCCCUAUGCCUUUUGGCCAGCUCGUCUGGACUUGGCUUUGACCGGUCUGCCCCCCUCUUGCAAGGAUUCGGCGCCUCCACUUGAUGCUUUACGCCCACGCUUCGUUCAGGCAGCGCUACUCGGAUAUGUCUUGCCAAUCGCCAAAGCAGUGCUACUUCCAGGAUUUUUUUCGGCCAAGCUCGGGAACCUUCCCUUUAGUGAAAGGCUCUAUCCCGGGACGAAGAGAAAGAGAGGGGGAAGGCCAAGUACGAGAUCACAGGGAUCGGGCUGGUGGAGCUUGACAAGAGCGAUACAGGAAACCAUACAAUCGAAGGCUAGCAAGAAGAAGCAAAAAGAUAGUCAAAGCUCAAGGGAUUCAUCACGAAGGCAAGUGCUCCAGCGGAAGCUAUCAAUUCAAAGGGAAGACCGGGUAGUGGUAGUUAACCGGGGGAGGGAGCAGCUCAUCCGUCAGGAUGGGAUCCCUCUACUUCACGUUUUUGGCUUAUCUUUUUCUUGCGUUGACGCUUCCAAAGCGGCUCCGUCUCCGCCUCCGCCUUCUGCGCUCCCAGUUGGGUAUCUCCGAGGACUUGAGCUAAGGGAUUGUUUACUGAACGUCCCAUACUUGACCUAUCGCUCCAUUCGGUGAAGUACCCCCUUACAUUUCUUUAUCUUUCUAGAGGUAAGAGGAAUCAACCCGAAAUGCGUGAACCAGUGCCCUUUUCUAAGACUCUUCUAUAUUAAAUCUAUUACAGGAUUCAAUCCUUCACACUUAUGCGUGGUUGGAACAUUUUUAGGUCAUUAGUGGUUGAUUGGAUCAAACUUCCAAUUAUUGAGAGAGAGAGAUAAGGUCUGAUUCUAAGUCAGAGUUCGAACUGGUGCUUACACCGAAGCCCUUGCCCUUGCCAACAAGUGACGAACUACAAGUAAAGAUAGAGUCCCCAUAAAAAUGAAGAUGAGAUUCGCUUUAGCUGGGUCUUGCAGACGGGAAGACAUACCAGCAUGCGGAAGAGGUAGAGGGACUGGCUUACUAGGUCGAAGCGACAAGCCUUAGUCAAAGAGUCUGUUUUGAUCUGAACCUCGAUCUCUAUAGUUUACUUACUCAUCACAAUACAAAAGAAAAAUAUCCUAUAUAAAUAAAUAAUAACUAUUCGUAACAACAUCCGGGGACCACAUCAUUUAUGUACGCUCUCGGCCAAGAAGGGCAACUACCUAUCGCAAGAUACCUCAAGCGAGGGGUAGGUGGUAGCUUGGCUUAGCCUUACCCCAACCCGUACCGAACUUCAGUCUCAUUUUUGCAGGGUCCGGGUAGGUGCAGGAAGUCGGAGAGAGAAGUACUGAUUUAUAUAGGGCGCAGGUCCUCGUAGAAUUGGUUUGCUUUCGCGGCAGCAGCGUGAAGGGAUAUUACCUUAUUAAUUAAAUUAAGAGCAAUUUCUCCCCUUCUUUCAUAUAGCCUACCAGGACUAUAAAAACCUAUGCCUCUCUAACCGACAUUUGUCCUUCAGUCCUUCGGGGAGGCCAGUUGUUCGUCUUGGAGAGAGCGCUCGACCGUCGCCAUGCUUCUUAGACUGAGUCAACGCGCCUAUUUACUGUGCGCCUAUCUGUUAUCUAGGAACCUGAGAUUCGGCUUUCACAUUUAUUUAUAACUUUCGCUUCUGAGGUAGAAAAAUCUUCCAUCUGGAUUUUUGACGGCAAUGACUAAGUAUAGUCCCAUUCUUCAACAUUCGGAAUGGCGAUCUUGGCCCGACCCUCUUUCUUAUAAGGUACUUUUGCUACAGCAGAGGGCAGUUGCCAAGAGUGGAGUUCACGUGUCCCAAAGGGAAGAGCUCUUGAGCUCCCUCUCCCUCUAUUUUAAGACAGACUUUGAGUUUGAGCGGGGAGGGCGAGAUGACAAGGGAAUCGGCCAAAGGCAUCUAUCAUCUCAUCGGAGAAGCGGUCCUAAUCUAAUAAAGGGUUGCCUUGCCUUACCAAAAGGAGUGAAAUGUAAAUGGCAAUCCCCGGUGCCAAGAAAGUAACCUUUAUACUGCUCAAUCUAAUCCUGCCUAGCAUAUGCUGGCGUGGCAACAAAGGCCCUAUUCUCAUAUUCUAGCUAUGCUUGGAGCUUGCAAAAAGCCCAACCCGCACAUUGCUCUAUGAACUGCACCUGCCUUCGGUCUUAGUUCGUAAUGACAAAACUUCUUCUUUGAAGGAAGAAAGCUUUGGGACUGAUUCAGUGACUUCAGCACCAGCAGCGGAUAGGACCAGAGCUUCUAUUUACUCAACAGCUCUUACUGUAACAGAAAAGACUGGCACCUGUUGGUUAUUCAACAGCAGAUAGGCUUAGAGCCAGUAGUUGCCCUUGGAUUAUUCAAAUGUCAUUGCAGAUGAUCUUCUCGGGCACUGAUAUCCCCCAAAGCAAGGGUCCGAAGGAUAGAAAGUACUGCUUAUUCUAAUUCGUAUCUUAAGUCUUUCCAGUUCCUAUUCAAGUGAACGGGGCAUCUUUGCAUUCCUCCUGGCUACACGAAUAGGAAAAGUUUCAGUUGUUAUCGGAGCAGGUAAUCUCUCCUGCCCUGCUUGUUGAGACUCGUCUCCAUCCUAUCUGCUCUUGUGCUAAUGUUGAAAAUCUGAUUCUAAUGGGAUAAAAAUAUAAUAAAGAAAUAGGAUGCUUAAGCCAAUAAGAUAGAUAAAGCAUACCCCUACUACUCGUAAAAAACUAUGUCACUUCCUUCCCCAGCGUUUAGUGGAACGUGAGGCAAUCUCGCCUCUAUGCUAUAGGCAGUGGAGACCUGCUCUUAUACGGAGUAUAAGUAAGGUUCUCCUCCGGUAGUCAAAAGAGAAGUCUGAGUUCCCCUCUCUUUCGUCGGUUAAGUGCUGGAUGGGGAAUGCAUAGGUCGGCUAUGUCCCUGGACCUCCUGGCUUCCCUGUCACGUCCGAACGUAAUCAGAGAAGACCUGCCCAAGCACCACCUUGUGAUCAUAAAGAUUAAUAUCCAAUACAAUCACAGGAAAGAGUACCUUAAAAAAACCUUAUCGUAUCCGGGUCGUACGCCUGGAACAGUCGUACAAUUUCGGCGAUUCAAAAAAAGGAGUAUAUCCCUCUCCCUUAGUGUCUUUCCACUUCCCUCGUUCAGGAACAAACCCUUCGCCUAAAUCUUUUUAAUCCCGGCCUGGUUUUUCCCCACUAACCAAUUACGUUACGACCACUGAACAAACUUGGUUGACGAACAUGGUUUAUGCGCCGCUAAUGUAGCGGCUUGUCGAGCAUUUGACAAACUCACACCAUCCAUUUCAAAUAGGACUUGUCCCGUGGACACACGAGCAAUCCAACCCGUAGGAUUUCCUUUUCCUCUUCCCAUUCUGACUUCUGUAGGUUUCCCGGUAAUAGGGAUAUCUGCGAAAACUCUUACCCAUAUCUUACCAUUUUUUCGGAAUUGUCCGCUCAUAGCACGAUGGAAGUGUCCGAUUAUAGCCCGACGCGCUGCUUCAAUGGCUCGAUAUGAAAGACGCCCAGCUCUACAACUUUGAGUGCCAUAUCUUCCAAAACCAAGUUUUGUUCCGUCUGGUUUGCAACCCCUACUACAUCUGCCUUUACGAUAUUUACUAAAUUUCGUACGUUUCGGAUAUAGCACGUCCCCUUUUUUUUUUACUAUAUGAAAUCCACACUUUGACACCUGAGAUUCCGUAACGAGUAGAUACUUCCGCAGAAGCAUAAUCGAUUUUCUGGUUAAAUACAUUACGAGAUGUUUUUCCAUACUUUCCGCAUUCAGUUCUAGCUAUUUCUGCGCCUUCUGAUCGACCUGAACAACAUAUACGGAUCCCCUCAACCCCUUUUUUCAUUACUAAUGGAAUAUCCUUCACUAUUCUACUAAAAAUGGAACGAAAUGAUCUUGUUUUCUUUCUCAGUUGAAAAGAAAUGUCUUGAGCAAUCGGAGAAGCACUUUGAUAAACAGAUUUGAUCUUGACCGACUCAAUUAAGGUAUUCGUGUUUGUUCUAUUAGACAACAAAGAUCGCAUUUUUUUCACUUCGUUCAAAUAAGAGUUGUACCCGUACGGAAUUCUUCUGUUUCUCAGUAUGAUCUCUAUCAUCAUCUCUAUUCCCUUUAUCCAUUCUCCUAUCCUACCUAGGUCUAUGAAUUUAUCUAUCAAUUCCAUUACCUUAUCCUUACCCAUGAGGUUCCAACAUUUGAUCCUUAAUUGACCUAGGAGUGGUUCCCGGGCAUCCUCAAAAGAAAGGUGAUUAUAAAAACCAACUCUAUCCCUUGGAAAGAAAAAGGUAGCACCGAAGAAAGGAAAGAGCGAGAUGGUUGUUUUUGUUGUUCCCGCGAAGCGAAGAUCAUUCGCCAAGCGAAUGAAGUGGGUCAACCUCUUUUUGGCUUCGGCCAAACACUUUUUCUCGCUGGUCGAGCUUUCUACAAAAAAAGCGAUGCGAGAACGUAUUCUCUUAUCUAAGCCUCUUCCCUGUUUCGCUCCCCCCAUCGUUGAUGGUUCAGCCACGCCCGGUGCCACGAAAUGAUUUAGAACUACGACGGGGUCGAAAUGCAUUUGGUUCUUUCUAUUCAAUAAGUAUUGCAUGACCGAAUAAUUCAAGGAGGGGCGCACUGCAGGGAGGGUCCUUUUAAAUAGAUGACUCGUCGGGCCGUCGGAGCGGGACUUCUUGGGGAAAAAUAACUUAAAUAACUUCCUUUUUUUGAAGGAGUCGUCAUUUUCUAUCAGGAACGCUAUGUCAUUUACAACCCCGGCGUAUUUCGGAUGCUUGAAGGCCCCGCUGACCCGAAGUGAUUUAGAAAGAUUCUUCUUUAUCGAUGGUGAUCGGUCAUGGUAUCCAUAGCGUUGCUUCUUUUUCGGCCAAAUCCGAAUUUCGUUUUGCUUCUCCCGGUCGUCGAGCCUGAUCGACUCGACUCUUUUCCCUGCCCUCCGGCCUCUCACUUCGUUUCGUUCUUCUUCUGUAUUGUCGCUGGAAUGAAGACACCCGAUCGGCCCGACUUUCCCAAAUGCCCACCACCGGCCCUUCUCCUUUCCGGGUCUGGAUUUUUUGCGUCGUUUCAGUCGUCGUGGUCGACGGGGAAGAAAGAAAUGAAUGAAUGUUCUUUUGGGAAAAUGUAUAAGAAUACACCUACCGAGACGAAAGCCAAAGGUUAGUCUCGCAGGUGGACGUAUCGAACCGAAAUAAGAUCUCAGAUUGACAUCUUGAUACACUAAUUUACCAUAAUAAUAAAUAGAGUCAAUGGUGACUCCGCCGUGGGAAUAGCCGCUUAUUUAUUGCUUUCAAGAGGGGCUUCCAUUCACCUACGCAGACUAAAAGUGCUCUCCGAACCGUGCUGGAUAGUCACCCAUCACACGGCUCUCAAACCCAACCUGUGGUGAAUCCCGGGAGACAAAGUCAAAGCGCUUGAUCCUUUGCCCCAUACUUUGAGAUGCUUCUCCCCGCCGAUCAAGCAGCGACGCUGCUCGUGAUAGGCUUAGCUUUAAGCCGCUAUCGUUCGGUUCGAAUAAGUCAAGCCUAAACUUAUUGAAAACGAAAGCGCUAACGCUAUAAUAAUUAUUAAAAUAGCAACCUUUCGCCUUAUAAAACAAAACAAGUUUACUUACUAAAAAAAGAAAGCGGCAACAAGCACCUUCUUUCUCAAAGUCAAGUUUCUCGCUUCUUGCUUUAGAAAGAUUGCAGCGUUAGCGCUUCUUGACUAAUAACAUCAUAGAAAGUCAAGGCUCCUCUCCUUUUCUACGAAUCUACAACUCUCUUUACUGAGCGAGACUCCAUCCAUAUCCCUACAAGUGGUUAUAUUCAAAAUUUUCCAUUUUCUCAUUUGUUUGACAGCCUAAACUAGGCUCCAUUUUAGAUAGGUUUUCGGUCUUAAUAAAAAAAAUAGGUCAGGGGCGCGUCGGAACGGUCGGUGGCUGCUUAGUCUCAUCCGAGAGUCUAAUCUCUUUGUACUGCUUUUUUCUUUUUCAAAUUAAAAAGAAGGGGGUCGAUUUAGGCUCCUUCCCUUCCACUGCAUAGCUGCGCUAGCAGGUACUAUGAGCCCUCUGUCCCACGCAUCUAACCAGCUCGCGUGGUUCACCGGUUCCACCGAAAACUCUCAUUUGUUGAAGCGGAGCAUAGUGCGCUUUAGGCGCCGAGCGAGAAAGGUCUCUUUCUUCUUUCGUUUCGGUUUAUUCACUGAUCUGAAACUUAGCACUUGUUUUCUUAUUGAUUCCAGGGGCGGCGGCGUUCUUGAAUGAAGUCUAUCCGAACCGAAUUAGCACUUCUCAGAUCAGGCUAGGCCUCUCCAGCGGAGCUGGGCGCCGGGGCCCUGGAUGCGCUAGCGAUCGGCACAUAGGGGGUGGUUGCCCGGGUUUCUCGGCCUGGUAUCCUGCACCUCGCGUUCAUGAUAUCUACAUUCAACUGUGCCCCGGAGACACGGUCGAAGCACGCCCAGUGUGCUUCUUUCACGACAUGCUCUGGUCCCGGGUGUCUUCCAGUGGUCUUCUAGCGUUAGAAGAAGUCGUGUCCGUCCCGGACAUCUGCAACGUCCUCCCAAGCUUUUUUAUUCAACAUAUAUAGGACAAACUGAAGGAAAAGACUGACCCAUUCGGUGACUUUCGCGGUCGCCCUCACUGAACCGACUUGAAUCUGAACUACGAUUCAGAUCGAGUCUUACCGAAAUCGGAUUUCCUUUUCGUGCCAUAUGCGCACUUUAUUUACUUUUUUUCCCCUUUUUUCUUCCCGGUUUAAUAUUUGUUCUCGAAAGUCUUCGUUUCCGUGUAGAAGCAAACUCUCCAAAUUGUUGACCAAGCAAGGUCGCACUGAGACUGUGAGAACACUAACGGAACACUCUCUUACCCCCACUGACCAGCUAGUCUGAACUGACGACCGGCCCGCAAGCAACUAUAUUUUAUUUUCUUAGCUGCUCUGGAUUCGAUUCUAGAUGCUACUUACAUAUGAUGUUUUCUUUCACAAGGUAGCGCAUCUAGAUAGCAUAGCUGAAAGCGGACAAAAAAAGCUGUUCCCAUAGCGUUACCUUAGCCUCUUUCUC
rnacentral:lncRNA from 1 species